CCGCUCACCGAUGAUGAGAUCGCCACCUACCUCUUCACCGGGCUCGACAGCGACUACGAUCCACUGGUUACAUCUCUAACCACGCGGGUUGAGUUGGUUUCACUCAACGAGGUGUAUGCUCACUUCAUGGCGUUUGAGA